AUAUCAAUAAGCGGAGGAAAAGAAACUAACAAGGAUUCCCCUAGUAACUGCGAGUGAAGCGGGAAAAGCUCAAAUUUGAAAUCUGGUGGCCGAAAGGUUGCCCGAGUUGUAAUUUAGAGAAGUGCUACCCGCGCUGGACCGUGCACAAGUCCUCUGGAAUGGGGCGUCAUAGAGGGUGAGAAUCCCGUCUUUGGUACGGACUCCCAGUGCUUUGUGGUGUGCUCUCGAAGAGUCGAGUUGUUUGGGAAUGCAGCUCAAAAUGGGUGGUAAAUUCCAUCUAAAGCUAAAUAUAGGCGAGAGACCGAUAGCGAACAAGUACCGUGAGGGAAAGAUGAAAAGAACUUUGGAAAGAGAGUUAAACAGUACGUGAAAUUGCUGAAAGGGAAACGCUUGAAGUCAGUCGCGUUGGCUGAGAAUCAACCUUGCUUUGCUUGGUGUACUUCUUAGUCGACGGGUCAGCAUCAGUUUCGACCAUUGGAUAAAGGUAGAUUGAAUGUGGCAUCCUCGGAUGUGUUAUAGCUCUUUACCGUAUACAGUGGUUGGGACUGAGGAACUCAGCACGCCGCAAGGCCGGGUUUUUAACCACGUUCGUGCUUAGGAUGCUGGCAUAAUGGCUUUAAUCGA
rnacentral:rRNA from 1 species